rnacentral:lncRNA from 1 species
CGUAGAUCCUGUUGUGUCCGGAAUUGGGUUGAUGGUUCUGUGUCGCUGGCCUCAACCUCAGGACAGGACAUGACCAGUGUCCCCCCUGGAUAGCAGCCAGGGGCCGUGCCAGGUGUGGAGACUGAAGAUGUGGCCAGCAGGACCCUGCUCAGUGGAGCUGCCUAGAAGCACCAGAGUGCCCCAGGGCCAGGAUGGAACCAUCAAAGCCGGCCAGAGGGCCCUGUGCCCAGGGAAUCUGUCCGGUUCGCGGCUGCUUCCCAGGCGCCCAGACCAGCGACCAGCACCGCGUAGGCGCUCGGCACAGACCGAGAACGGAGGCCCCACGCGGGGGCGCCCUGCGGCGAGGCGGG